UCCUCUUCUCCCCUUGCCCCGAUCGCGAGCCUCUCCCCUUCAUCGCCGCCUACUGGCCGACGUCGUCGGUGUGGAGCUGCUCACCUCUCCUCUCCCUCUCCCUGCUCGACAUCAAUUCCAAUCCCUACCCGAUCUCGGCCUUCACAUCUUCUUUGCCCAGUUCCUCUUCGUCAUUGUGCCCUAGCAUCUGCCCGAUGCCAUCGCCGCCUAAUGUUGCGCGGCGAGUCUUCACUCGAUGCCGCGUGUCUCCUCCUGAUGCCACGCCGUGCGUCUCAGCCCGAUGUCGCGCCGCACGUCUCCACCAGAGUGUCGCCGAUGAUCCAUUUCUCCAUCUCCCUCUUCCCCUCGCGUCCAUCGCCGCCACUUGAUCAUCUUCCUGAGCCCUAGAGUCAAGCAGAUUUCGUCGGGCUUUCCUUUGCUGCUUGAGGUGGGUUCUGUCAUCAAGGUAGGUUGAGGUAUGAACCGAUUCGUAGCCUUAUCUCCGGUUCCAGCAGCAGCUCCAUUGAUCACCCUUUCUGGCAAUUAAGUCUUCGGCUAUGAGAUAACAAGGGAACAACCAUAUGAAGGGUGUUGGAUUUGGAAAUCAACAACUCCAUCUUGCUCCGGUCGCGAUCCUUGGUAGCGAGCACUUCUCCAAUUAUGAAUUAACAGAGAGGUCUCCAAUUCGGGUAGGCAGGUAAAGGAUUUAUGGAGUCGCCUGGAGAUCCUGCUCACCAGUCCCAUGUCACACCGAGCUUCCCGUACUGUUAGUGCUUCUAUACACUUUAUUUUGGUUUUGUACUGAAUCGUGUAUUUGUAUCUUUUAUAUGGAGUUUGGCUUUGUAGUAUCUUGUAUUUGAUUUGAUGUGGUGGUUGUCGUGUCAAGCCGAGUCGGCUCGAAGUUGGUUGUAUUGUGGUUUUGUGAUCGUUAUUUGUGAUUUCUGCUGUGUUUUACUUUCAGUCGUGUGGGCUGUUUAAUAUAUAUAUAACUGCGUAGUUGUGUUUAUUCUUGU